AGCAUGCGCACUUUGGACGUGGGCGCGUGUGUGGAAUGGAGGAGGUCGCGCCGUCCAUGGGCGUCCCUGGCCUGCGCCGCCCGGUCCCAUGGAUGAAACAAAAUAUGUUUUGAGCCUGGAGAAUUACUCAAGCUAAACCCAUCUUGAAUCACAAGUCGGAAAAGUAAACCAAUGUCAAAGUCAAAUUGAGGAGCACUUUUUACUAUAUAAGGGAUGAAACAAAUGGUUCAGGCCACUGCAGUGAUGUCCUUGCAGAGGAGUGUAUUGAACUGCAAAGGCCCUGUGUGGAGUCGAUUGUAUUAUUUUCGAUGUUUAUGCCCCAGAGACAGUUUCUGGAGGUCUCAACAAACAAAGAAACCCAGUGAAUAAGCAAAGAGGGCAUCAAGAUGGUGGAUGAAGGUUGUUGGGGUUAUCGGAGUGAAGUAAAAUAACACCAUCCAAUGUACCAAGGUGAAGAAGAUGGGUAGGAGUUAUUAUAUCCAGAGCCCUGACAAUGCAGCACUGUGUAUAAAACCUCAAUUGAAACCACAGCCGCAAGACAAAACAGCUUAGAAGAGCAUUCAGAUAUUUAUAAACCCAAUAAAGAGAAAGAAUAGUAACUGUUGUUUACUUUAAAUCCAAUCAAACUGAGAAAGAGACAAAGAGAGCGAAGAAAGAUUGAUUUACUCGAACUCAGCAUUAGAAACCUCUUACUCACCUCAGACCUACAGAAUCAAAUUCUCAAGGCUGGAGGCCCAGCAUCUGCAGUUGUAACCAGAUUUCCAGGUGUGUUUUGAGCUCGUUUCAUAGUCUCUGCAAGCCUGUAACUAAGUCCUGAAACAGAUGAAAAAAUUCUGAAGAGAGAAGCAUGAUGCAGUUCAUUAUUUAACGAAGAGAAGAUUCUCUUUCUCCAUGUCUUUGGGGGGAAAAAUGUAGUAUAUUUAGGUUCAGUACUAUUCGCAGCAUCAUGCUUUCACUGGGGAACUACUGCACAUUAAUAGGGUGCUAUUAUCUCCUUAAGCACAGAGAGCAGGCUCCUUAGAGUGCUGAGAUCAAUUGGCAAGCAUUUGCUUUUGUAGCUGACUUUGCGCAAGUUCUACACUAUGCCCUGUGACCCUGAUAAAGAAUCCUUUCUGUCUGUUGGAAGGGCCUGGUGAGCUGGAUUGAGCGACUCAGAGCAAGUCCAACUGGAAAAAUAGCAAAAAAAAAACCCCAAAGAAACAAACAAAAAACCAGAGACAGACAGAAUAAUCAUCAAGUUGACCAAUAAAAAGAAAACGAAAUGCUGUACUGAUGAACACUGCAGAGAGAGAUUUGUGGGAAUCCAGGCUGUCCCCUUAAUAAAACAGCAAUAACAUAUGAGAUAGUUGCAAAAAAAAAAGUUUUAAAAUUUAAUCUACUGUUUUGUUUUCUUUUUCAGUAAUAGUAAUAGAAUAAGAAUCAUACAAUCUCUAGUGGUGAUCUGGCAGUUUUAUGGAAAGCUAAAGAUAAAGCAAUUCUAAAAUAGAAGUAAGGAGCGGAUCGAUAAAUUCAGUCUUCUUCCCAGCUGGAGAUCCAGGAUAAGGAGGAACUGGAUUAGCAAGUAAAUGACAACCUCAUCAUUAGAGCUCGUUUCAUAGUCUGCAAGCCUGUAACUAAGCCCUAGAACAGAUGAAAAAAUUCUGAAGAGAGAAGCAUGAUACAGUUCAUCAUUUAAUGAGAAGAUUCUCUUUCUUCAUGUCUUUGGGGAAAAAAGUGACAUAUAAUUCAAUGUCCUCCAUUCCCUAAAUCAGAGUUUCUAGUGUGUGGUCCCUAAAUCAACAUCAGCAUCCCUUGGUAAUUUCAAAAUGUAAAUCUCAGCUCUUCCCCAGGCCUAUUGAACCAGAAACUCGGGGAAGUUUCAGCAAUCUGUGCUAAUAAGCCCUCCAGGUAUUUCUGAUGCAUGGGAAAGUUUGAGACCUACUUCCCUAAAACAUGUGUAUUUUCCAUUUUAAAGCCUUUAUCAAGAAUGCGUGUGAUGGAAGUUAUCACAGAAGUGGACUUGAUGCAUUCGUGCUUCCAUAGGCUUCGUUUCUUGGCUUAUUUGGAACUAUAAAGCUAAGAGAUAGAUGGACGCGUUCCUAAUACAAGAAUGUUGGUAUUUGCACAAUGAGGUCCCGGGAGACUUUUUAAGACAUUAAAAAAAUUGGUAUGAGAAAUAAGAGGGAGUUGCAGCAUUAACUAUUGUCUUGUUUUCCAGGAUGAAGGAGAUCUCCCAGGACUUUUCUCAGGGGAUCAUCCUCUACAUUGAGAAGUGGCACAAGGAGAAGAUCAUCGUAAUCCAACUCAUAGCACAGUGAAAUGAACUCAAAGACUGUUGCCUACUGGUUAACCUUGUGAUUGGAAAUUAGCUUAUGAAUUAAUUUUUGCCAUAGUGACAUUAUAUAUAUUCAUUUGUGUCUUUCUUAUAACUUUUAAUUUUUUUCUUAAUUUGCUGACUGUUAAAAUUUGGUAUUUCUGAGAGUUUCCUUCUCUUUCCUCCAACACCCCAAUGAUAUCCAAUAAAUAUUCCAGUUUAUAUAAAAAAGUAAUUUUUGCACUUGGUGAGCGCAAUUUAACUUAACAUCCUUUUUAAAUUGUGAUAGAUUCCAUAUACCAUCAAGUUAUCCUCCUAAAGUAUAUGAGUCAGUGGAUUUUACUGUAUUUACAAAGCUGUACAACCAUCACCACUAAUUCUAGACCUAGCAAAUGCAGUAGUCCUCCCUGCUUCAUGCCUCUGAAAUGUGUUGCUUUUCUUUAGUGUCCUCAUGAGGGAGCCUCAGAGAGUGGAGAAAGUUCAGGUGCAUCAUGAUAGCACCUUGGCUAUGAACUCACAUGAACAGGUGAAUAAAUCUGAGAAGCACAAGAAUAUUGGCUAGAUGAUAGCUUGAGUUAUAUUUUCUUCUUAAUUCCUGGGGUAGCUGAACAUAGAAAUUUCAGUUUAGUUACAUAAACUGUAGCAUGAUUUUUUAUUCCUCUUUUAAUAUCUGUUAUCAAAGAUUUAGAAAAAUGGAAGAAAUAAUAAUCUACGCUUCACAGAAACUAGGAAAAAAAUUAAAAGGCCCUUAUUUCCUUCUUUUUCCAGAUGUUAGCUAUCAUAACCCUUAAGGAAAUAUCAAAAGGCUAUGACCUAGGCUGACUAAAUUUAUAGAAGCAAUAAAAAGAAGCCCAACAUAUGCAUAAAUACCAGCUUUGGUGGGUGGGAGUAAGACAGUGGGGGAUAAGAGAGCCCUAGAAUAGCAGAUACUAAAAUAACCAUGGGCUAUCAAGCAAAAGGGACACCAAGAAGCAAGGUGCCUUGGGAAGGGAAGUGUCCUGGGGCACAAGAAUUGGGUCUGCAUGAUAAAGAAGGGAGCGCAGCUACCUCUCCCCUCUUCCUGCUGCCUGAUUACCCCACAUCUCUCUAGAAAGUAGUGCUGUGGAUCCAGGCUUCCAUCUGUUUGCAUUCAGAUCUGUGAUCUUGCCAAGUCUAAUCUGACCAAAUUAUUGGCAGCUUUGCAUGCUACACAAGUGACUGGGGACCUUUUCUCUGAAUCCAGAUGAAGUGAGCCACUUGCAAGAAUCCUGCAAAGAUAGUAAAACUUCUGAGCAUUUAUUUCCCCAAUCCUCUUGGAGGCUAUUCAGCUAGAUACUGUGCAAUACAUCCACCUGGGAGGCCGCAGCAGAGGAGAGAUCCACAUUGAUAAAACACAGAGAAAGGGGAUUUUGAUGUCAAUAUAAGGGAACUUGGAGAGCUGUAAACCAGGGCAGACUGCACUGUUUAGCUUCUGAGGCAUCAGUAAGAGCCAUUACUUCAAGUUACUAGUUCAGUACGCUGAGCUACAGGGUCAACCCAGACUUCAGGAAGAGCCAGGACACUCAGCACCUAGACUCUUAUUCUAAAACUAGGAACUCCAGCUGCUGCUGUGUAAGAGCUGCUUGAGAACUGUGUGUCAUGUCCUGGGCUUUUCUCUUGCAGGGAUUGCAAGGCCAGGACCCUCAGGUCAUCCUCAGAGACCCUGAGGAUGCUCCAGGGACCUGGGUCCUUCUUCCUGAAAACAGAAGAGAGUUUCAAAUGAGAUUGGACCAUGACAACAGUGACUAUCAUUAUCUGGAUGACAGUAGGUUUAAAGAAAAUAUUCAAGUUUUCAAACUUGGUGAAAGAGAAAGCAUGGUGAAAGAGACACUUCGUGAAAGCGAAAGCAUGAAUUACAAACUCAGUAUUUAAAAAUCAAAAGCAUUAUUCAGACUCAAGUAUAAAAGCCAAAUGCCACGAAUUACUUCCAAAUUCACAUUUUUUUGAGAUAUGAUUAAUUAAAGUUAUAUUUGAGGAUGCAUUUUCCUAAGUGACUUUUGGUUUAGGAGUCUUCUUCAUAUAAUCUUUUUCUAAGAACUAACUGAAAGGAAUUUAUUUGUUAUCCAAGAAUUGUCAUAACUGUUUCUUCAUUUCGGCACUAUUUAUUAAUUCACAGGUCGCAUGCUGUCUGACCUGUCCUGGUUGGUGGGAGGGAUGGAGCCUGGCUUCCUGUGUAGGGUGCCCAAGGACUGGCUGUGGAGGCUGCUGGGCCUAAAUGCUUUCCCCCAACUUCUUCCAUGGACUGACUUCUGUGUCCCAAAUGAUUGACAUAUUUAUUAUUGACCAUCUCUGACAAAAGACAAAGAAUUAUAGAUCUACAUUUUUCUCUCUCAAUCUCAGGAGCCAAUAUAUUCAGUGUGAAAGCUCAAUUUUCAUUUGGAAGAAAAGACAAAUUGACUCAAGAAAAUUUUUUUCCAUAAGUCUAAAUUCUAAAACUUUGUUUCAACCCACAAGAAAGAUGUGUUAUUAUCUAUCUAUCUAUCUAUCUAUCUAUCUAUCUAUCUAUCUAUCUAUGUUUUUUGUCCUUAGCUCCUAGCUCAUAACUCCCCUAGCUCUUGUUAAAAUCCUUUGUUGUAAUAUUGGGUGUGUUAGUUCGCAGGAGCAGACCUCAGGACACUGAAUCUCUCUACUGCCUUCUUUCUCCUACCCUAAGGCAGGACUCUAAUCUUCUCUCACCUUUGUGAUAAUGGAUCUUAAGAAAUUUCCCUGAGAGGGCUCCAUCCUGUACCCUAUCCUGGGGGAAGGAAUGCUGAUGUCACAAAGCUUCCAUGAAAACCCCAAAGGACUGGGUUAAGAGGGCUGUUGUAUUGCUGGACAUGUGGAGGCCGACAGGAAGGUGAAGAAGUCAUCUGCGUGUUGUGAGGGUGGUGUACCCCAACUCCAUGGGGACAGAAGGUCCUGCAUUUAGGACCCUUCCAGACCUCACCUCAUCCACAUACUGUGAGAGUGGUGCACCCCAACUCCACCGGGACAGAAAGUCCUGCCUUUAGGACCCUUCCAGACCUCACGUCAUCCACAUACUGUGAGAGUGGUGCACCCCAGCUCCACGGGGACAGAAGGUCCUGCAUUUAGGACCCUUCCAGACCUCACACCUAUAUAUCUCUUCAUCUGGCUGAUUACUUACAUCCUUUCAAAGACCCUUCUUAGUAAACUGGUAAACGUUAAGUGUUUCUCUGAGUUCUGUGAGUCACUCUAGCAAAUUAAUCAAAGCCAAAGAGGGCGUCCUGGUGACCUCAACUUGAAGCCAGUUGGUCACAAGUUUCGGAGGCCCAAACUUACAACUGGGAGGAAGAAAGCAACAGUCUCGGGACCUGAGCCUUCCACUUGCGGGAUGGACACUCUCUCUAGGUGGACAGUGUUGGAAUUGAAUUGGGGGACACCCCAGCCACUUGGCGGUGGGGGAGAAUCUGCACACAUUUGGUCACAGCAGUCUCCUGGGGUGAUUGUUGUGUUGUGAGAGUGGAGGAGAAACAGUUUGAGAGUUGUUUUUCUGAUACAAAGUGAAAAUAUAAUUUAAAUACAUUUGGAAAAUAGAUAUGUCUUUAUUAACCCCAUUCUCAAUUUGUCAAAUUUCCAAUGAAAGAAAGGUCUAUUUUGUGAAUUUAAGGAUCUAAGCCCAGGCAAUAAUAGAUUUAAAUACAAAAGUGUAGAGGUGUCAUUAUUAUACAUUUUCUUCCUAAGUGAGUAUGACGAACUUUAUCGGUUGAAAGAUCACUGCUGAGAGUCAAUGGCACUGAGUUAUAUUUUAACCUUUAGAAUAUGACAGAAUAAACCAUUAGCUAUAAUCUUAUUCAUAUUGUUUCUGUGGUUGUCAGAAUCUGCCACAAAGUCCCAGCACCUUCCUUCGUCAUUCCAAAACAUCACAUUUAGUCUUAAUUUCUACGACCACUUCAUCUGAGAUAGGACUUUUUGGUCUGUGCUAACACUGACAGGUUUUCAAACUGUCUUUUUAAACAUUAGACUUCAUAUUUAUAAGGCCCCUUUCCACUGCUAGCGCCACUGGAAUUGCACUUUGAAGUUUGCAUAUAAUCCUUUAAUAGUCUUAAUACGUGAGGAUCCUAACUAUACACUAAAGCAUAAAGAAUUCCCUCCAUUCAGACAAUGUCCCCAAUCCUACGAAGCAGGGAGUGAACCCGGACAUGAAGCAGGGAGGAGGAAGUAGCUGGAUGGUCAGAUGGAGCCAUUCCUCCAUGAUGUGUUCAAAAUGAUUUCUUAUACCUCCAGUGAAUUUAUAGGAAUCCUUGCUGAUUGAAGUAAUAAACUUUGUCAAUGAUAUAAAAAAGAAAUUUUGGAAAAGCAGGCUGAAUGUCAGAUAUAGACACAAUACCACCACUGAUUAUGAUGUGAACUUAUAUGGGGUUGCCACACAUGUCAAGGGACCACUGGUCUUCAUCCACUGUUAAAAAUCACCCUAAUGGAUAGUCUUUUUGGCAUGCAAAGUGGUUCAGGAUGUUUGUAUUGGCUAUUUGUCUUAGAACUAAGCAGAUUUUCCACAAGCCUGGUCUAAGAGUUAGGAUGUGUAGUAUGAACCGUGUAGGAAAAUUUAUUGGAUACUAUUUUGCACUGUUUGGCUCCAUACUGAAUUUGUUAUGUCAGAGGCUUUCAUUCUGAUUUUUUCCCCUAAGUUUUAAAAUCCAUAAAAUGUGAGAAAAGAACAAAAUCUUUUUGUAGUCUACAACUGCUAACAAUCUCAGAAAUCCCUUUGAAUACCAACGUAAAUGUGACCUACAUCAGUGUAUGUGGACUCCGGUUCUGUUGAGCUCAGGGAUGUACUGUGUUGGAUACUGAAUGGAUAUUGCAUCUCUGUGAAACCUGCUCUGGCAUCAUGAUGUUUUAACAUUAAUCACAAAAAAAGGUAUUUUUAUUUUCUGCUGAGCUUUUAAUUUUACUGGCAAUAGAU